UACGUAGGGGGCAAGCGUUGUCCGGAUUUAUUGGGCGUAAAGAGCGUGUAGGCGGCUUUGCAAGUCCGUUGUGAAAACUCGAGGCUCAACCUCGAGACGCCGGUGGAAACUGCAAAGCUAGAGUCCGGAAGAGGAGAGUGGAAUUCCUGGUGUAGCGGUGAAAUGCGCAGAUAUCAGGAAGAACACCCGUGGCGAAGGCGGCUCUCUGGGACGGUACUGGCGCUGAGACGCGAAAGCGUGGGGAGCGAACAGG
rnacentral:rRNA from 1 species